AUUGAACGCUGGCGGCAGGCCUAACACAUGCAAGUCGAACGAGUGGCGGACGGGUGAGUAAUGUCUGGGAAACUGCCUGAUGGAGGGGGAUAACUACUGGAAACGGUCGCUAAUACCGCAUACCAUCGGAUGUGCCCAUAUGGGAUUAGCUAGUAGGUGGGGUAAAGGCUCACCUAGGCGACGAUCCCUAGCUGGUCUGAGAGGAUGACCAGCCAAACUGGAACUGAGACACGGGCCAGACUCCGACGGGAGGCAGCAGUGGGGAAUAUUGCACAAUGGGCGCAAGCCUGAUGCAGCCAUGCCGCGUGUAUGAAGAAGGCCUUAGGGUUGUAAAGUACUUUCAGCGGGGAGGCGUUACCCGCAGAAGAAGCACCGGCUAACUCCGUGCCAGCAGCCGCGGUAAUAC
rnacentral:rRNA from 1 species